UACGUAGGGUGCAAGCGUUGUCCGGAAUUAUUGGGCGUAAAGAGCUCGUAGGCGGUUCGUCGCGUCGGCUGUGAAAUCCCGAGGCUCAACCUCGGGUCUGCAGUCGAUACGGGCGGACUGGAGUUCGGGCAGGGGAGACGUGGAAUUCCGUGGUGUAGCGGUGAAAUGCGCCAGAUAAUCAGGAGGAACACCGGUGGCGAAGGCGGGUCUCUGGGCCGAUGACUGACGUGAGGAGCGAAAGCGUGGGGAGCGAACAGG
rnacentral:rRNA from 1 species